CGCGGGGUGGAGCAGCCCGGUAGCUCGUCAGGCUCAUAACCUGAAGGUCGCAGGUUCAAAUCCUGUCCCCGCUACCA
rnacentral:tRNA from 2 species